rnacentral:hammerhead_ribozyme from 1 species
GAACUGUUGACGAGUCCCAAAUAGAACGAAACAGCCGUCUAGUGC